rnacentral:rRNA from 1 species
AACGAACGCUGGCGGCAGGCCUAACACAUGCAAGUCGAGCGAGGACUUCGGUCCUAGCGGCGGACGGGUGAGUAACGCGUGGGAACGUGCCCUUUGCUUCGGAAUAGCCCUGGGAAACUGGGAGUCAUACCGGAUGAGCCCUUUGGGGGAAAGAUUUAUCGGGGAAGGAUCGGCCCGCGUUGGAUUAGGUAGUUGGUGGGGUAAUGGCCUGCCAAGCCGACGAUCCAUAGCUGGUUUGAGAGGAGGAUCAGCCACACUGGGACUGAGACACGGCCCAGACUCCGACGCGAGGCAGCAGUGGGGAAUCUUAGACAAUGGGGGAAACCCUGAUCUAGCCAUGCCGCGUGAGCGAUGAAGGCCUUAGGGUUGUAAAGCUCUUUCAGCUGGGAAGAUAAUGACGGUACCAGCAGAAGAAGCCCCGGCUAACUCCGUG